CCUACGGGGGGCUGCAGUGAGGAAUUUUGCGCAAUGGGGGAAACCCUGACGCAGCAACGCCGCGUGAGUGAUGAAGGCUUUCGGGUCGUAAAGCUCUGUCAAGUGAGAAGAACCUGCCCUUUGCUAAUAUCACUGGACAUUGACGGUAUCACUGAAGGAAGCACCGGCUAACUCCGUGCCAGCAGCCGCGGUAAUACGGAGGGUGCAAGCGUUAUUCGGAAUCACUGGGCGUAAAGAGCGCGUAGGCGGUUUCUAAAGUCAGAUGUGAAAGCCCGGGGCUCAACCCCGGAAGUGCAUUUGAAACUUAGGGACUUGAGUAUGGGAGAGGGAAGUGGAAUUCCUGGUGUAGCGGUGAAAUGCGUAGAUAUCAGGAGGAACACCGGUGGUGAAGGCGACUUCCUGGACCAAUACUGACGCUGAGGCGCGAAGGCGUGGGGAGCAAACAGGAUUAGAUACCCGAGUAGUC
rnacentral:rRNA from 1 species